rnacentral:rRNA from 1 species
GAUGAACGCUGGCGGCGUGCUUAACACAUGCAAGUCGAACGGGAAACCUUUUAUUGAUGCUUCGGCAGAUUUAGCUGGUUUCUAGUGGCGGACGGGGGAGUAACGCAUGGGUAACCUGCCUUAUACAGGGGGAUAACAACCAGAAAUGGUUGCUAAUACCGCAUAAGCGCACAGGACCGCAUGGUCCGGUGUGAAAAACUGCGGUGGUAUAAGAUGGACCCGCGUUGGAUUCGCUAGUUGGCAGGGUAACGGCCUACCAAGGCGACGAUCCAUAGCCGGUCUGAGAGGGUGAACGGCCACAUUGGGACUGAGACACGGCCCAGACUCCUACGGGAGGCAGCAGUGGGGAAUAUUGCACAAUGGGGGAAAGCCUGAUGCAGCGACGCCGCGUGAAGGAAGAAGUAUCUAGGUAUGUAAAAUUCUAUCAGCAGGGAAGAUAGUGACGGUACCUGAAUAAGAAGCCCCGGCUAACUACGUG